rnacentral:misc_RNA from 1 species
AACUUUCGGCACUGGAUCUCUUGGCUCUCGCAUCGAUGAAGAACGCAGCGAAAUGCGAUAAGUAAUGUGAAUUGCAGAAUUCAGGGAAUCAUCGAAUCUUUGAACGCACCUUGCGCUUCUUGUUAUUCCGAGGAGCAUGCCUGUUUGAGUGUCAUUAAUAUAUAUCAAACUUCUUUUGUUGAGUUGUUUGGAUGUGGGGGUUUGCUGGCCUCCUUAAAAGGGGGUUCAGCUCUCCUGAAAUGCAUUAGCAGAACAACCUGUUCAUUGGUGUGAUAAACUAUCUACGCUAUUGAAUGUGAAGGGCAGUUCAGCUUUCUAACAGUCCUUGGACAAAUUCAUCAUUAAUGUGACCUCAAAUCAGGUAGGACUACCCGCUGAACUUAAGCAUAUCAAUAAGCGGAGGCU